AGAAUGAACGUUGGCAGCGUGGAUUAGGCAUGCAAGUCGAGCGACAAGGUGCUUCGGCACUGGAGGAGCGGCAAACGGGGUAGUAAGGCAUCGGAACGUACCCUCUUGUUCAGGAUACCCGCGGGAAACUGCGGUUAAUACUGGAUAAUCCCGAAAGGGCAAAGGUCCGCCGCGGGAGGAGCGGCCGAUGUGAUAUCAGGUAGUUGGCGGGGUAACGGCCCACCAAGCCAUAGACGUCUAGGGGAUGUGAGAGCAUGAUCCCCACCACCGGGACUGAGAUACUGCCCAGACACUUACGGGUGGCUGCAGUCGAGAAUCUUCGGCAAUGGGCGCAAGCCUGACCGAGCGACGCUGCGUGUGGGAUGAAGGCCCUUGGGUUGUAAACCACUGUCAGAGGGGAUGAAAGCGUAAGCUUGACAGAGCCUCAGAGGAAGCGCGGGCUAAGUUCGUGCCAGCAGCCGCGGUAAUACGAACUGCGCGAACGUUAUUCGGAAUCACUGGGCUUACAGGGUGCGUAGGCGGCCGAUCAGGUCCGAUGUGAAAUCCCACAGCUCAACUGUGGAAUGGCAUUGGAAACCGACCGGCUCGAGUGAGCUAGAGAUGUACGGAACUUCCGGUGGAGCGGUGAAAUGUGUUGAGAUCGGAAGGAACACCAGAGGCGAAAGCGGUACAUUGGGGCUUGUCUGACGCUGAGGCACGAAAGCUAGGGGAGCGAACGGGAUUAGAUACCCCGGUAGUCCUAGCUGUAAACGAUCAGUACUAGACGGAGGGGGGCUUGCCCUUCUCGGUCGUAGCGAAAGCGAUAAGUACUGCGCCUGGGGAGUAUGGUCGCAAGGCUGAA
rnacentral:rRNA from 1 species